rnacentral:lncRNA from 1 species
UUAUGAGAAUGCGGAGGAGCGACGAUCCGGUGUUAAACGUCUUUGGCACUUGGUAUGCGUAUACAGUAAAUUAUAUUUUGCUCAGUCGCACGGACGGAGACUCGUGGAUGUGCAUGUUCGUUAAAAUAUUUGGAGCAAUAUUGAGAGAAUUUCUGCUAAGCAAUAUGAUCCAACGACUGCAAGGUAGCAAGCCAAACAAUAAAUUGUCCAAAUCUGGUGGAGACGAUCCUAUCCUACAUUCAGCCGAAUAGAUAAGAGAGUCAGACUGGAGAACUUUUUCAGACUCAUGGUGAACUUACCACAUCGGCAGAAAUUAUCAGGAAUGUGCGGCUAACGCGUCACGAUGAUUUGCAGACUGCGUCAAAUCGAUCGGAAACACUCAGACCUCGCUGCACGUCAACACGUAAUAUGCAUCACUCGUGCUUGGAAGAGGCUCAACCCAAUAAGCGUCACAGUUGCUUCUAAGGGAAUGACAGAAAGGGCGACGUACACACGAUUCGUAUGCAAGUCGCGUGACUCGAGAAAACAAGUUCUUCAGCUUGUCCGAGUCUCCGUCUUUCCCACUGCUGAUCCACUCAACGAAGGGAUAUCUCCGUCUGCUGACAGGAUUACUAAUUCAUGGUCUUCCCGAAGCACCAUAGAUUUUUAAAAUUACAAGGAUAGCAAGUGACAGCGAUCGGGUCAGGGCGUAACGAUCCUCCCAAAAAGGUGGAGAAACAUUGAACAGAAAUAGAAUAAUCGAUGGCUUCUGAGAAAUGGUGUUACCGCUGCGUCAAAUAUGGAAGUACACGAGGACACAUUUUGCAUGAAAUUUUCUGCAGACGCUCCACGGUUAAGGAGUUAUUUCGGUCAUUUGUUGAAUCCCUCUGUGCGUGCCGCCCGAUGCUCCCACUUUAAUUAAGUCUCCUGUGGUUCCUGCGGCUGGCCUGGCAUUGAGACGGGAAGAACAAGGCUACGAAUCUCUGCCCUCGCAUCUGCACUAAGAAUCAAGAUUCGAUCCGUUUUUCCUCACGACCAGCAUACCGCUCGGCAACCUCAGUCAGUCCGAAAUGUGUCACCUCAUUUCGCAGGAGAACGUCAUAAUAUAUUAUAACAAAUGUUAUAAAAAUACACGGUCUCGCUGGGAAUAAAUUCCGUCAAUUACGAGUGAAAAUAAAUAAUCCCAAUAUAUGAGUAACAUAGAAAACUUUUUACUUCGUACCGAAAAUAAACCAGGGCGUCCAGCAUUACUUGAAGUCUUGAGAGUUCCAGAAACAUGUACGGCAAAACUUCGUGUGAAAAUUUCAUGUUCUACUCAUGCCAUGAAAAGUUUUUAAAUGAUUUUGUAAUAAUUUUUCACCCUUUUACGUACCUACGCAUUAAAGGAAGCAAGUAUAACUUCUAAUUCCAAUUACUUAAAACUUGUGAAGAAGAAUGAUGUAGAAUAAAAAUCAUAUUUCGUUAAACAGUAUUACUUUAAUCAUCAAGUAUCUAUAACUCGGUACCGAAGUCAAGGAAGCUGUGCGAUAAAAAAGAUUAAAAAAACGUGUUUCUAUCAGUAUGGUAUAGUAAAAAUUAGUAUAGUAUAAAAAAAAGUAAUGUAGAGCUUGUAAAAUAAAUAUAUAAAA